rnacentral:rRNA from 1 species
UGGGGAAUCUUCGGCAAUGGACGCAAGCCUGAUCCAGCAACGCCGCGUGUGUGAAGAAGGCUUUCGGGUUGUAAAACUCUGUUGUUAGAGAAGAAAGAGGAGGUGAGUAACUGAACGUCCCCUGACGUUAUCGAACCAGAAAGCAACGGCUAACUACGUGCCAGCAGCCGCGGUAAUACGGAGGGGGCAAGCGUUGUCCGGAUUUAUUGGGCGUAAAGCGCACGGAGGCGGUUUAUUAAGUCAGAUGUGAAAGCCCCCGGCUCAACCGGGGAAGUUCAUUGGAAACUGGCAGACUUGAGUGCAGAAGAGGGGAGUGGAAUUCCAGGUGUAGCGGUGAAAUGCGUAGAUAUCUGGAGGAACACCGGUGGCGAAGGCGGCUCUCUGGUCUGUAACUGACGCUGAGGCUCGAAAGCGUGGGGAGCAAACAGG